GUGGGGAAUCUUGCGCAAUGGGCGAAAGCCUGACGCAGCCAUGUCGCGUGAAUGAUGAAGGUCUUAGGAUUGUAAAAUUCUUUCACCGGGGACGAUAAUGACGGUACCCGGAGAAGAAGCUCCGGCUAACUUCGUGCCAGCAGCCGCGGUAAUACGAAGGGGGCUAGCGUUGCUCGGAAUUACUGGGCGUAAAGGGCGCGUAGGCGGACAGCUUAGUCAGAGGUGAAAGCCCAGGGCUCAACCUUGGAAUUGCCUUUGAUACUGGCUGUCUUGAGUUUGGGAGAGGUGAGUGGAACUCCGAGUGUAGAGGUGAAAUUCGUAGAUAUUCGGAAGAACACCAGUGGCGAAGGCGACUCACUGGCCCAAUACUGACGCUGAGGCGCGAAAGCGUGGGGAGCAAACAGGAUUAGAAACCCGGGUAGUCC
rnacentral:rRNA from 1 species